AGGACGAACGCUGGCGGCGUGCUUAACACAUGCAAGUCGAGCGGAAAGGCCCUUCGGGGUACUCGAGCGGCGAACGGGUGAGUAACACGUGAGUAACCUGCCCUAGGCUUUGGGAUAACCCUCGGAAACGGGGGCUAAUACUGGAUAUUCCCGCGGGAUCGCAUGGUUUUGUGGGGAAAGGUUUUCCGGCUUGGGAUGGGCUCGCGGCCUAUCAGCUUGAUGGUGGGGUAAUGGCCUACCAUGGCUUCGACGGGUAGCCGGCCUGAGAGGGUGACCGGUCACACUGGGACUGAGACACGGCCCAGACUCCUACGGGAGGCAGCAGUGGGGAAUAUUGCGCAAUGGGCGGAAGCCUGACGCAGCGACGCCGCGUGGGGGAUGACGGCCUUCGGGUUGUAAACCGUCUUUCGUCAUCGACGAAGCCCUUCGGGUGACGGUAGGUGGAGAAGAAGCACCGGCCAACUACGUGCCAGCAGCCGC
rnacentral:rRNA from 1 species